CAUACAUGAAUGGAAUUAUCUUUCUUUCCCUUGUGACUGCACAUUUACGACAUCAGGAGAGAUGGUCUGGACAGUGGAAUCAUCUGGCAUAGAGAAAAGCAGCUGAAAAAUUAUUCCUUCAAAUGCCUUCAGCGCAUGCUUUAUCCUGUUUGCUCUGCUGAUACCACUGUUAAAUGAAUUUGGUCUAAGCAUCAUUUUUGCAAGUGCAAUAAGAAAAAUGAACAGAACUUCUACUCACUCACAGUCUUGUCUAGACACAUCAUCCAAGUUUCUUAUUCUUUGCAAUAUCUUAUGAAAUCAUGAAGGUAACACACAUGUCUUCUUAAGCCAAAUCAUUUUGCAUAGUUCUCCUUUUCAUUUUAUGCAAAGAUUUGGUCAGUACCAAUAAAUAACCUGCAAAUAUUUAUUUAGAUUACAAAUGCACAAUAUUCUUUAGUCUGCUUUAUUAAUAUUUCCUGUGUUAGGAAAGCCUAAGCUUCUUUGAUUCCACUGCUUUAGCAAACUAAGUAAAUUCACAUAAAAUCACUGGGUAACAUAGAUAUCACUGGAUAAAAUUCACAUAGAAAAGUGGCAAGAGGAGAAAUGGAAUUUAUUUGUGAAAUCUGUCCAUGAGAAUCAAGCUGAAUCUUCUCUGUACAUUGCUAGUAAAUCAAUAUGCAAAAUUAAAAAAUGAAUGAACAAUUUGGCUAAAUAUCAUGCACUCAGUACUAACACCUAAUCCCUACUAACCAAAGAGAGGUGAUCCUGGACAAGGACAAUAUUCCAAACUCUUUUCACUUCCUCUUCCAUUACAUGGUCUGUUAAAAUAUUAACUAAGAAUAAAAACACUAGGUUUUAUCAUUUAAUAACGCUAACAUUUAUCAUUAUAGAAGUGCUCCUAUUUUACUAUAUCAAAAACAACCUUUUCUCUUUCUUUCUCUCUCUCUCUCAUAGAACAAAGGCUCUUAGGCAUUGCUGGCCUCAGUGUUUCAGAAGAACAUCUGUAGUUGACCAUCAUUCACUCCUGAUCAAACGGGACC
rnacentral:lncRNA from 1 species